AAGGCAUGGUUAGGGCACUUUCUAAGAAUAUGCUUGAAUCUCUCCUAGAUCUCAUAAAUAGAUUCUCCUUCUAAGUAAGUAAAAGAAGUAAUGUCAUUUCUAAAGCU